UGGUGUCUCACGCCGGAAUCUCGAAAUAUACUGUAACCGCCCUACUCAGGAAGGGCGAGGAGAGAACCAGAGCUGGUCUAGCCCAGUUUGCGCUAUUUCCGGAGCCCUAGAUAGAAGAAUAAAGCGCACCGACACAAAAAUAGAAACCCCGAAACUUGGACAGAGGUUUGCAUAGGGGCUCACGUCUUUCAAGUCUCCAUUUUUGUCUUGGGGCCUCCAGACUGUCAGUAGUGCCAGGGCCCAUGGUCAACGUUUGGCAUUAAUUAGGCAUUAUUAGGGACAAUACUUGAGAUUUCCUUGGCUGAACGUGUGCUACUGAAUCCUCUCAAGGCCAGCUAUAUUUCAAAAUCACAAAGGUGGUUUGGCCACUGCACCGCCAAUCCCAAUGUAAAUGACUUUGACCCUACUUCUCUGAGAGAAACCCUGGGAAGGUAAAUUAAUAACCUGGCCAUAAGCAUAUGAAGCCUUGCCCUUGAGCAACUUUUGUUGAAGAGGAAAUAUACAUGAAUGAAAACGAAUGAUGAUAGAAACUAUCACAAAGCAUUAAGGAAUGAGAGGAUGGUGAGGAAAUGGAAGAUCUCAGUACAAAUUGCAAAUGCAUCUUCUGGGAUUACAGAACUUUAUAUGUAUUUAAACAAUUCUGCAUCUGAAAUGUACUGAAGACUUUCAGAGUUCAACAAAUCAUGGUAUUUCCCCAACCAACACAAUGUUUGGAUUUUCAGCUGAGCAAAAUGACAGAUAAAUGAUAGCUUGGCUGAAUACAGAAAUGUUAUGUUUCCUCGUUCAUGAGCUGCAAGGACCAGGGCUGCUGUCAGAAUCACCCAGGAAUCCUCACGAAUGAGCGGAUUCAUCUCCUGUGGUGCCCACUCCUGCUGACAUGCUAUGAGCCACUGCAAAGCAACAACGGUGAAGGAGAACACAGCAAGCGGCCCACCUGCCCGGGCCCUGGUGGAACCAGAGCCAGAAAAGCAGUAAAACCAGGUGGAAGAUGCCAGAACCGAUGUCAACAUCUGCAGACUCCCUGCCUUGGCACUGACCAAUCAGUAAAGACCACAACCCUAAAAGGACACACCUGGAAAAAUGAUGACUAUUCUGCUGAAAAUCUCCCCUGAGACUUCCCCCAAGAUUCCUUCCCGCAAGAGAUGAAAGCCUCAAAACAAAGGACCCAGUGCACACUCUCCCUCUGUGGAGCAGGCUGCACCAUUUUCUUUCCCUUCUUCUCCCCUCACUUCUUUCUUCACAGGCAUGUGUCUCCUAACCUCUAAGGCAAUGGGCAGCUGGCAGCUUGUCUAAGGCGGAUCCCCUGAACCUGUCCCCAAGGCCCCUCUUUUCUCAGACUUCCCAGUGAGCUAAGGCAGCCCAGCUUAGGCUUUUUACAGAACAGACCUGCGGUGGGGGCAAACGAUGUACUAUUAUCAAAAGGACCCCCAAUUAUUCUCUGGGGGUUCCCCUCCACCAUACUAGGUUCGCUUUGCCCACCACCAGGGGAAAGAUGUCUCUCAGUGCCAGAGACUGGUGAAAAGGAAAGGAAUCAUUUGUUCAAAAGUUAUACAGACUUAGAGUAAUAACUUAAUAUCGUCAUUAAAAUACUAAAGUCCUUUAAAAUACCCGCAGUGCACACAGUCCUUUCUUCUCCCUCUGCCCAGUUUAGGGUACCACAUCUCAGGAAAAGAAGAGGAAGUUCGCGAUUCAGGCUCCCGGCACCAUCAGCUGUGUGGCCGCUGUGAUCUCCAGUUAAUCCAAAACCAUGUGGCACCUUCUCAUGGCCCACCAGCAAGAGUCUUUUCAUCCCUUUUUUUCCAGUCAAAGUCUCUCCUGCUUCCUAAGCCAUGUGGCAAAAAGGAGCAACCCAAAGCCAGGUGGUCCCAAUCUGGUACGGCUGCCACACCUGGGUUUUUUAAAUCCCUGUAGCAAUCUGCCUUUGCAGCCCCAUUUCACAAUCAGUUUACACCUGCCAGCAUUCCUGUAUUCUUUCAGUGUGACUGGGCUGCCAUAAUAAGUCCAGGCAGGCAUGGUCCCAUGGCAUGGAGCCAAUCAUCUCCAACCUCUCACAAAGGCGCCGUAACCAGGGUGAGUUGCUUCCCAGUUGCAUCCUGUGUUGAAGUCACUCCCAUCCCCCAGGCUCAAAGCAAGACCACAGCUAUUUAACAUAUCUAUGAAACCAGUUAAAGGUUAUAGAUACUGAAUUUUUCAGACCAUAAACAACUAGGUUUUAGAAGAGGAAAAUAGGGGGAAAAAUGAAGCAAAAAUGUGGUACAAUAUUUAAUAACAUAAAUAACAUAGGUUGUCUCCCCCUACCCCACAGUGAGCCAGGUAAGCUACACUUGACUAUAAGAUGCACCCUUAUUUUCCUCCCAAAUUUUUUGGGGAAAAGUGUGUCUUAUAGUUCAAAAGAUAUGAGUAUGUUAAAUGACUAUGCCAGAGGUUAGCUGAAAAGCUGUUGCUGUACAAAACAGCUCUCGAUGGCCUUGCUCCCUGCAUUUCACACCACAGCUCAGACUGGUGGGGGUGAGGACAUUAUAUAUAUUUUUUCUCUAAUAUUUCCUGAACAACCUGAGUUCUGAACCCCAUUACAAAUCCCUAUUUGGGUCUCCCCCCUUGGCUGCACCCUGUUACAGGUUCUCCUGUCGCUUCUUCUAUGCUAAACCUUUCCCUGUUUCACU